rnacentral:rRNA from 1 species
AUUGAACGCUGGCGGCAGGCCUAACACAUGCAAGUCGAACGAGUGGCGGACGGGUGAGUAAUGUCUGGGAAACUGCCUGAUGGCGGGGGAUAACUACUGGACACGGUAGCUAAUACCGCAUACCAUCGGAUGUGCCCAGAUGGGAUUAGGGAGUUGGUGGGGUAAAGGCUCACCAAGGCGACGAUCCCUAGCUGGUCUGAGAGGAUGACCAGCCACACUGGAACUGAGACACGGUCCAGACUCCUACGGGAGGCAGCAGUGGGGAAUAGUGCGCAAUGGGCGCAAGCCUGAUGCAGCCAUGCCGCGUGAAUGAAGAAGGCCUUCGGGUUGUAAAGUACUUUCGGCGGGGAGGCGUUACCCGCAGAAGAAGCACCGGCUAACUCCGUGCCAGCAGCCGCGGUAAUUC